UCAAGUACAUAGGGAUGGCCUUCACCAUACCACCUCCAACAGUCAUGCCCUUCACUUCCCAUCACCCACGUCUUUAAGUCACAAUACAUAGACCAAACUUCAGCAAUAAUUCAACUGAGUUUCUACACUCUCCAUUCAAACUUCCCACACAAAUUUCUCAACCAGAGAUAGAGCUCCAGUCCAGUCCAGAAACAAACAACAUUUUCAUCAAGGUUUCAUUUCAAAUUCACUAUUGAAGCAGACUGCCAAAUCAAAACCACCAAGAUGUUCAUCAACUCAAGGUUGGCUGGCCGGUGCUGACGGGACUGAGCUGAGGCUAGGGUUCAAUUUCUAUAUAGACUUUCCGCUGUAGUAAUAACUCUUAUACAUCUUUUGUUUUCUCAACUUAAGAUGACUUCAUGUCGAGCUUCAAUUUGAAAUUUCUAGUUUUAUGCUAAUGAAUGUCGGUUGUCAGAAACAUGAGACAAAACUUGUGAUCCAAAUGGGCCUAGCCCGACUCGUUAUCUUAUUAUUCGGGUUUUAACAAGAUUUGUCCUUGUU